AGGAAACAUGAGCGCGGUCCGUGACUUGGCACGCAGGCACUGUUUUCUUGUUUGAGUCCAUGAAGCAAAGCUGGGAGGCAGAAGUGUUGCUUUGGAAACAGAGUGGUCUAAACCUGUGCUGCACAGGCUUCUGACCCCACCAUCUCCUGCUCGAGCCCCGCAGGAGCUUUGCUUGUUGUGGGCUUACUUACCCUAGCUGCACAUCUCGACCCAGUAGCCAAAACUAUCUUCUUACUAUGAAAAUGUGACCAUGGUUUUGAGAACACAGCUGUCCCAGAACAGGUGCAAGAAAAGCUACAGUCAAGGAUGCAUUCCAAUGUUGACUCAUCUCUUCCAGACACCUAUGUAAGCUAACAGGCUACGGAGAACUUCUGUUUCCACAAUCUCAGCACUAAGAAGCUGCUGUCUCUCCUCAUCAUCAAGGCUGCUCUGUGGAUCCUAUCUGUGGCAGUGCCAGGAAGCUUUUGGCAGGCCUUUUGCCCAGGAGCGUUCCAGGCUGUCUGUCUGAAGUCCAUGGGGUGAAGUGGUGAGACCACCUGGUCAGAGGCAGCCUGCUGGGCCUCAGCGUGGAAUCCUGGCUUCCCUCUAUCAUGUUUACAGAGCCGUGUCUGUCUGCUCAGCCUCCUAUGAGAUGAGAAUACCAGGCAGUCCUUAGUCACUCAGCAGUGAGUUCUGGUAAUUUUCCUCUGGGAGAAAGAGGGCUGGUUGCCAGCCUUAGAUUGUGUUCCCUCUGCUAUCCUCUCUGCUGUCAGCUGAUGAAAUAGGACUUUUGAUUUCCUCUUCUGUAUAUUCUCUGACACAGAGGCACUGGGGAAAGCAGGCUAGAGACUGCUACUAUGUUAGGGCUGCUGAGAAAUAUUCACAGAAAAAAAAAGAGUUAGACUCACUAGAUACUGAGAACACAGGCACACAAAUAUACUAAUGCUUAUGAAGAUGUUUUGCAUAUGUGCAUUUGUGUAGUCUUCUCCCCAAAGGAUUGCAAUGGUUAGGAAGAAAAGAGUAACAGCUCCUCCUUGUUAUCUUUAUUUUUCUGUAUCAAAAACAACAACAUCAUGGAGAUCAUGGGGAGAAAAAAGAUUGUGACCUCAAAUGUUUUCUCCUACACAUUUGCAGGGCUAGGCUUUAUAAGUAACCUGAGAUUUUCAUCUUUUAAA
rnacentral:lncRNA from 1 species